AUUGAACGCUGGCGGCAGGCCUAACACAUGCAAGUCGAGCGGAUGACGGGAGCUUGCUCCUUGAUUCAGCGGCGGACGGGUGAGUAAUGCCUAGGAAUCUGCCUGGUAGUGGGGGACAACGUUUCGAAAGGAACGCUAAUACCGCAUACGUCAUACGGGAGAAAGCAGGGGACCUUCGGGCCUUGCGCUAUCAGAUGAGCCUAGGUCGGAUUAGCUAGUUGGUGAGGUAAUGGCUCACCAAGGCGACGAUCCGUAACUGGUCUGAGAGGAUGAUCAGUCAGACUGGAGCGGAGACACCGGACAGACUCCUACGAGAGGCAGCAGUGGGGAAUAUUGGACAAUGGGCGUAAGCCUGAUCUAGCCAUGCCGCGUGUGUGAAGAAGGUCUUCGGAUUGUAAAGCACUUUAAGUUGGGAGGAAGGGCAGUAAGUUAAUACCUUGCUGUUUUGACGUUACCGACAGAAUAAGCACCGGCUAACUCUGUGCCAGCAGCCGCAGUAACAC
rnacentral:rRNA from 1 species